rnacentral:rRNA from 1 species
GUUAUAGGAUCAAGCGACUAAGUGCAUGUGGUGGAUGCCUUGGCGAUCACAGGCGAUGAAGGACGUGCAAGCCUGCGAAAAGCGGGGGGGAGCUGGCAAUGAAGCUUUGAUCCCCCGAUGUCCGAAUGGGGAAACCCACUCAGCAAUGAGUAUCUUUAUCUGAAUACAUAGGAUAUUGAGGCGAACCCGGUGAACUGAAACAUCUAAGUAGCCGGAGGAAAAGAAAUCAACCGAGAUUCCCCAAGUAGUGGCGAGCGAACGGGGAAGAGCCUGCUAGUGAUAGCGGAAUGGUUAAUGGAACGGAAUGGAAAGUCCGGCCGUAGUGGGUGAUAGCCCCGUACAUGAAAACCAAUCCGUGGUACUAAGUUAGCGAAAAGUAGGGCGGGGCACGUGAAACCUUGUCUGAACAUGGGGGGACCAUCCUCCAAGGCUAAAUACUCGUGAUCGACCGAUAGUGAACCAGUACCGUGAGGGAAAGGCGAAAAGAACCCCGGGAGGGGAGUGAAAUAGAACCUGAAACCGCAUGCAUACAAACAGUGGGAGCCUCCUUGUGGGGUGACUGCGUACCUUUUGUAUAAUGGGUCAGCGACUUACGUUGUGUUGCGAGCUUAACCGAAUAGGGGAGGCGUAGCGAAAGCGAGUCUGAUAAGGGCGUUUAGUAGCACGGCGUAGACCCGAAACCGGAUGAUCUAUCCAUGGCCAGGAUGAAGGUGCCGUAACAGGUACUGGAGGUCCGAACCCACUAAUGUUGAAAAAUUAGGGGAUGAGCUGUGGAUAGGGGUGAAAGGCUAAACAAAUCCGGAAAUAGCUGGUUCUCCCCGAAAACUAUUUAGGUAGUGCGUCUUGUAUCACUGACGGGGGUAAAGCACUGUUAUGGCUAGGGGGUCAUCGCGACUUACCAAACCAUGGCAAACUCUGAAUACCGUCAAGUGCGAGCAAGGCAGACAGACAGUGGGUGCUAACGUCCAUUGUCAAGAGGGAAACAACCCAGACCGCCAGCUAAGGUCCCCAAGACAUGGUUAAGUGGGAAACGAAGUGGGAAGGCAUAGACAGCUAGGAGGUUGGCUUAGAAGCAGCCAUCCUUUAAAGAAAGCGUAAUAGCUCACUAGUCGAGUCGUCCUGCGCGGAAGAUGUAACGGGGCUCAAACCAUGCACCGAAGCUGCGGAUAUCCGUAAGGAUAUGGUAGGGGAGCGUUCUGUAGGUCUGUGAAGGUGUCUUGUAAAGGAUGCUGGAGAUAUCAGAAGUGCGAAUGCUGACAUGAGUAGCGAUAAAGGGAGUGAAAAGCUCCCUCGCCGAAAGCCCAAGGUUUCCUACGCAACGUUCAUCGGCGUAGGGUGAGUCGGCCCCUAAGGCGAGGCAGAAAUGCGUAGUCGAUGGGAAACAGGUCAAUAUUCCUGUACCGAUUCUAGAUGCGAUGUGGGGACGGAGAAGGUUAGGUCAGCCAUCUGUUGGAAUAGGUGGUUUAAGCGUGUAGGCGUGCCCCUUAGGCAAAUCCGGGGGGCUUAGCUGAGGCGUGAUGACGAGGCACUACGGUGCUGAAGUGAUUGAUACCAAGCUUCCAGGAAAAGCCACUAAGCUUCAGUCUAGAGUCGACCGUACCGCAAACCGACACAGGUGGGCAGGAUGAAAAUUCUAAGGCGCUUGAGAGAACUCAGGAGAAGGAACUCGGCAAAUUGACACCGUAACUUCGGGAGAAGGUGUGCCCCGGUAGGUUGUAGUCCCUCGCGGACGAAGGCCGAUGGGGUUGCAGUGAAAUGGUGGCUGCGACUGUUUAAUAAAAACACAGCACUCUGCAAACACGAAAGUGGACGUAUAGGGUGUGACGCCUGCCCGGUGCCGGAAGGUUAAGUGAUGGGGUGCAAGCUCUUGAUCGAAGCCCCGGUAAACGGCGGCCGUAACUAUAACGGUCCUAAGGUAGCGAAAUUCCUUGUCGGGUAAGUUCCGACCUGCACGAAUGGCGUAACGAUGGCCACACUGUCUCCUCCUGAGACUCAGCGAAGUUGAAAUG